UACAGAGGUCCCAAGCGUUGUUCGGAUUCACUGGGCGUAAAGGGUGCGUAGGUGGUUGGGUAAGUUUGAUGUGAAAUCUCCGGGCUUAACCCGGAAACUGCAUUGAAUACUAUCUGGCUAGAGGGUUGGAGGGGGGACUGGAAUACUUGGUGUAGCGGUGAAAUGCGUAGAUAUCACGUGGAACACCAGUGGCGAAGGCGAGUCCCUGGACAACUCCUGACGCUGAGGCACGAAAGCGAGGGGAGCAAACAGG
rnacentral:rRNA from 1 species